rnacentral:rRNA from 1 species
GAUGAACGCUGGCGGCGUGCCUAAUACAUGCAAGUCGAGCGAACAGACGAGGAGCUUGCUCCUCUGACGUUAGCGGCGGACGGGUGAGUAACACGUGGAUAACCUACCUAUAAGACUGGGAUAACUUCGGGAAACCGGAGCUAAUACCGGAUAAUAUAUUGAACCGCAUGGUUCAAUAGUGAAAGACGGUUUUGCUGUCACUUAUAGAUGGAUCCGCGCCGCAUUAGCUAGUUGGUAAGGUAACGGCUUACCAAGGCAACGAUGCGUAGCCGACCUGAGAGGGUGAUCGGCCACGCUGGAACUGAGACACGGUCCAGACUCCUACGGGAGGCAGCAGUAGGGAAUCUUCCGCAAUGGGCGAAAGCCUGACGGAGCAACGCCGCGUGAAUGAUGAAGGUCUUCGGAUCGUAAAACUCUGUUAUUAGGGAAGAACAAAUGUGUAAGUAACUAUGCACGUCUUGACGGUACCUAAUCAGAAAGCCACGGCGAACUACG